UGCUGGGAGGUCAGACCCUGUGAGGGCUGUGGGGGCAUCAGGCGCAGUGGGCUCCAGGGAGCCUGGCCUGAGACCUGCCCAGUGCAUUGAGGGUGCACCUGGAGCCCACUCCGCCUGAUGCCCCCACAGCCCUCGCAGGGUCUGACCUCCCAGCAUGCACCUGCCCCUCCCUGCACCCCAGAUGUCCACCCUACCUGUUCCCUGACUUCCUCCAUCCUGUCCAGCAGGAUGGGCUGGACAGUGGGACAGCCUGUGUGCACAUUUUGUGGCAAGUAGGAGUGACACACCAUCCCUGGGAGGCACCAUGGUUCCUGCCAAACCCAACCCCAGAACUCUGUCCCUGAGGUGGUUUUACCAAAACCCAAAACCCAGAAUUGUGCUUGUGGCUCAGGGGUCAGCACCUGCUAGUACCAGGACACUACUGGGAGGCUGGGACCUGACCGAAGCCCAUGGUGUCUGUGGCCUGAGGACAGGGUGUGUUGGGGCCAUAAGUCCCGGCCACCAAUGGCCAUUGGGUCCUAGGGCCUCAGCCCCAGUGUUUGCCCUUCCCUGGCUCCUUCUGGUUCAGUCCCAUUAGGGCCCUGGAGCCCAAGACCCAGCACCCAAGGUCCCCUCCAGGAAUACUGGCGGCUUGGCUUCCUUUAUCAUGUUUCAUCUGAGAGCAAAAAUGUCAGAUCGGAUGCACAGAAAAAUGGCCCAAAUUGUUUAAUAACUAGAAGAAAUAUAGGAGCAGCAAGAGGGUAAUAUGGAGAGGGGAGGGCCUCCAUGACCGGUGUCUGCAGAGCCAGGGGUACAGGCACCCAGUGUUGUGGCCUGGCACCACCGGCCUCUCAGAGCGUGGGUGGCCCACUGUCUUUACCCGGAGGACAGCAGGCCUGAUCACCAGCUUUUCUACCUGUCCCUGUAAGCAUCACGUUGCUAGAAGAAAAUCUCAUGCCAGAGCUUGCACCAUCCCUAGCUUGGGGGUUAGGGGUUGUCUCUUGGUGACCUAAAUGAAAAAAUAGGUCCAGAUCAGAGUUCCUGACGCAGAGCACUCACCCACUCUUUGAAUCGUGGGAGGGGAGGCCUGGUUUUAGUUAAACCUAACCUCUUUGAGGAACCACAGAGCCCAAGACUGGAAGCCUUCAGAAUCUUCUGGCCCCCAACCCUCCCUGGGGACCCCUGUGGCCUGUCUCACCAGAGCACUCUUCUGUCUGUAGAUGUCUCAGCUGCUCUACAAGGGAGUCCCAUUUCAGAGCAGGACAAACAGGCCCGGUGGUGUCAGGAGCCCAGGUCUCCAGCUGGAGGGAACGUCAACCCUGCAGUGGGAGCAGGGGCCCAUCGCACAUCCUAGGCACAGAUGCUAAUGCAGGCACUGCAGAAGCACUGCUGACUGUAAGUGGUUGCCGUUUGUGGCAGUGAGCAUUUUGUCCAUUCUGAGGUUGGAUUGGUUUCUCCUUUUGGCCUUGCCCUGCCCUACAGACCAUAAAGGAGAACAGCAAGAAGCCCCCAGCAAACAUCCACAUAUGGCCCUGGACAUCAGCCACAUUCUGAGGAACAUGUCAUGUUCUGGGAGGGCUAAGGCAUCAACCUUACCCUGUAGGAAUUCUAGUGACUAUGUUGCCACCAUCUUGGAGCUCCAUGCCCUCAUAGUGUAAUGGCACCAGCAGAUCUGCCUGUGCACAGACUUCCUGUACUACCUCACUCCUGAGGGGAGAUGCUUCUGCGGGCCUGCGACCUGGUGCUCAACUUUAGACACCAUCAUCCUGGAGCGGCACUGCACCCUCACUAGCCAGGGUGUUGACGUCCUCAAGGCCAAGGCCACAUUCAAGACUUUGGACUUCAUUGAUGCACUUGUGCCGAGCAAGCUUAUCUGAUCUUCUGGGAUCUCUACUAGGAUGCUGGCAGCCCAGCCAGCUGGUCUGGCCCUGGACGUGCCUUCAGGGGCUGGGUAUGCUUCAUGACCUGUGUUUUGAUCCUGGUUGGAGUAAAACAUUCCAUGGGAACUCGGGCUGUGAGAAAUGUCCUAACCACCUGACUGCAGAAACAUCCUUAUCACAUCCUGCUGGGCAAAGGCCCAACAGCCUGACUUCAGGAACAUCCUUAUCAUCUUCUACUGAGCAGCAAGCUAUACUGUCCAGAGCCCUCCCUCCCAGCGCUAUGAUUACCCCAGCCUGUGAGCGGCAGUGGGCACUGACACUAAGCUGGUUUCCCCCUCCGCAGGGUUUUGCUAGUAAUAAACCUGUGUUGCUGUUGAA
rnacentral:lncRNA from 1 species